rnacentral:rRNA from 1 species
CGACAAGCAGCGGAGCAUGUGGUUUAAGUUCGAAGCAACGCGAAGAACCUUACCUAGACUUGACAUCUCCUGAAUUACUCUGUAAUGGAGGAAGCCACUUCGGUGGCAGGAAGACAGGUGGUGCAUGGUUGUCGUCAGCUCGUGUCGUGAGAUGUGGGUUAAGUCCCGCAACGAGCGCAACCCUUAUUGUUAGUUGCUACCAUUUAGUUGAGCACUCUAGCGAGACUGCCCGGGUUAACCGGGAGGAAGGUGGGGAUGACGUCAAAUCAUCAUGCCCCUUAUGUCUAGGGCUACACACGUGCUACAAUGGUCGGCACAAUGAGAUGCAACCUCGCGAGAGUGAGCAAAACUAUAAAACCGAUCUCAGUUCGGAUUGUAGGCUGAAACUCGCCUACAUGAAGCUGGAGUUGCUAGUAAUCGCGAAUCAGAAUGUCGCGGUGAAUACGUUCCCGGGCCUU